rnacentral:rRNA from 1 species
UAGCUACAGGCUUAACACAUGCAAGUCCAUGGGCAGCAUGGUCUUAGCUUGCUAAGGCCGAUGGCGACCGGCGCACGGGUGAGUAACACGUAUCCAACCUGCCGUCUACUCUCGGACAGCCUUCUGAAAGGAAGAUUAAUACAAGAUGGCAUCAUGAGUCCGCAUGUUCACAUGAUUAAAGGUAUUCCGGUAGACGAUGGGGAUGCGUUCCAUUAGAUAGUAGGCGGGGUAACGGCCCACCUAGUCUUCGAUGGAUAGGGGUUCUGAGAGGAAGGUCCCCCACAUUGGAACUGAGACACGGUCCAAACUCCUACGGGAGGCAGCAGUGAGGAAUAUUGGUCAAUGGGCGAGAGCCUGAACCAGCCAAGUAGCGUGAAGGAUGACUGCCCUAUGGGUUGUAAACUUCUUUUAUAAAGGAAUAAAGUCGGGUAUGGAUACCCGUUUGCAUGUACUUUAUGAAUAAGGAUCGGCUAACUCCGUGCCAGCAGCCGCGGUAAUACGGAGGAUCCGAGCGUUAUCCGGAUUUAUUGGGUUUAAAGGGAGCGUAGAUGGAUGUUUAAGUCAGUUGUGAAAGUUUGCGGCUCAACCGUAAAAUUGCAGUUGAUACUGGAUAUCUUGAGUGCAGUUGAGGCAGGCGGAAUUCGUGGUGUAGCGGUGAAAUGCUUAGAUAUCACGAAGAACUCCGAUUGCGAAGGCAGCCUGCUAAGCUGCAACUGACAUUGAGGCUCGAAAGUGUGGGUAUCAAACAGGAUUAGAUACCCUGGUAGUCCACACGGUAAACGAUGAAUACUCGCUGUUUGCGAUAUACUGCAAGCGGCCAAGCGAAAGCGUUAAGUAUUCCACCUGGGGAGUACGCCGGCAACGGUGAAACUCAAAGGAAUUGACGGGGGCCCGCACAAGCGGAGGAACAUGUGGUUUAAUUCGAUGAUACGCGAGGAACCUUACCCGGGCUUAAAUUGCAGAUGAAUUACGGUGAAAGCCGUAAGCCGCAAGGCAUCUGUGAAGGUGCUGCAUGGUUGUCGUCAGCUCGUGCCGUGAGGUGUCGGCUUAAGUGCCAUAACGAGCGCAACCCUUGUUGUCAGUUACUAACAGGUUCCGCUGAGGACUCUGACAAGACUGCCAUCGUAAGAUGUGAGGAAGGUGGGGAUGACGUCAAAUCAGCACGGCCCUUACGUCCGGGGCUACACACGUGUUACAAUGGGGGGUACAGAGGGCCGCUACCACGCGAGUGGAUGCCAAUCCCCAAAACCUCUCUCAGUUCGGACUGGAGUCUGCAACCCGACUCCACGAAGCUGGAUUCGCUAGUAAUCGCGCAUCAGCCACGGCGCGGUGAAUACGUUCCCGGGCCUUGUACACACCGCCCGUCAAGCCAUGGGAGCCGGGGGUACCUGAAGUGCGUAACCGCGAGGAGCGCCCUAGGGUAAAACUGGA